ACAUUUAACCAUCAACUAAUCAUGGAAAAGGAUCUAAAUGGAACAAACACCUAGACUUAGGGUUUUAUCUGACAGAAUUCCACGAGUUUUGGUGUUUGUCUAUUUCUGCAGGGGGUUAUCAGGAAAUACGGAAGAAAGGCCCACACGUCGGGUUUACAUAGAGAUAUUAACGUGCCGCGCAAUUUUCUAUCAUCUAGAAAACUCCAGAAGCCACGGG
rnacentral:lncRNA from 1 species